CCUCCCACCCGUGUAUACCGUACCUUGUUGCUUCGGCGAGCCCGCCCCCUUCUCGUUAGGGGGGCACAGCGCUCGCCGGAGACACCAACGUGAACACUGUCUGAAGUUUUGUCGUCUGAGUCGAUUGUAUCGCAAUCAGUUAAAACUUUCAACAAUGGAUCUCUUGGUUCCGGCAUCGAUGAAGAACGCAGCGAAAUGCGAUAAUUAAUGUGAAUUGCAGAAUUCAGUGAAUCAUCGAGUCUUUGAACGCACAUUGCACCCCCUGGUAUUCCGGGGGGUAUGCCUGUCCGAGCGUCAUUGCUGCCCUCAAGCACGGCUUGUGUGUUGGGUCGUCGUCCCCCCGGGGACGGGCCCGAAAGGCAGCGGCGGCACCGCGUCCGGUCCUCGAGCGUAUGGGGCUUUGUCACACCGCUCUUGUAGGCCCGGCCGGCUGCUGGCCGACGCUGAAAAGCAACCAACUAUUUCUCCAGGUUGACCUCGGAUCAGGUAGGGAUACCCGCUGAACUUAAGCAUAUCAAUAAGCGGAGGAAGA
rnacentral:rRNA from 1 species